rnacentral:lncRNA from 1 species
GAAGAGACUUCUUUCAAAAAUAUCAAUAUCAACCUCAGACUUGAUGAAUGAUCGUUUAUAUGAUCGUGAAGUGACUGAUAAUCAUUAUGUGUGUCACAUGACAUGAAAAGGUUUAAUGCAAAGAACAAGCUUAACUCAGAUACCUGUAACUCAAGCAGAGAAACUGUUCCUUAAUCUCUCUCUCUCUCUCUCUCUCUCUCUCUCUCUCUCGGUUUUCCUGGCACUAGGAUAAACAUGAUGUGCACAUUCCUGAGGUUGCUAUGGAGACGCUAAGAAAGCACAGCUGGACCUGGAGAAUAUGAAGAACGAUGACACAUUCUGACAGCUACAGCAUUCGGACCGGCUGGGCGAAUGUCAAACCACUGAAGAUGACUUUCACUGCAUGAACCGCCGGCCUGAUGCUGUUCGUCUGCAGCAGAGCCGUGCAACUGUGGUUCCAGCAUGAGGUCGCGACCCCGCAGAGUGCUGGGAGCUUGGAAACCCAGAGCAGAACUGCUUACAAAUCACUAAUUAGCACAGGAGGCGGUCAGCAGCGGGUCUGGGGGGCUGUGAGGUGUGUCAGCGAGUCUGGAUCCACAUGUCCCGUAAAUCCCUGCUGCUUUCAUGUGUGUGCUUCAAAUCCUAUCCGCCUGGAGAGUUUGACACAGAGCCAAUUAAUGCAGAAGCAGCAGAAGCGCAGCGGUCCAAACACACAUCCCUCCAAAUCCUCUCCACCCAUCUCAGCUCAUCUCUCUC